rnacentral:rRNA from 1 species
UACAUAGGUCUCAAGCGUUGUUCGGAUUCAUUGGGCGUAAAGGGUGCGUAGGCGGCGCGGUAAGUCGGGUGUGAAAUUUCGGAGCUUAACUCCGAAACUGCAUUCGAUACUGCCGUGCUUGAGGACUGGAGAGGAGACUGGAAUUUACGGUGUAGCGGUGAAAUGCGUAGAUAUCGUAAGGAAGACCAGUGGCGAAGGCGGGUCUCUGGACAGUUCCUGACGCUGAGGCACGAAGGCCAGGGGAGCAAACGGG